AUGCACGCUGGCGGCGUGCCUAAUACAUGCCAGUCGCGCGAACAGACGAGGAGCUUGCUCCUCUGACGUUAGCGGCGGACGGGUGAGUAACACGUGGAUAACCUACCUAUAAGACUGGGAUAACUUCGGGAAACCGGAGCUAAUACCGGAUAACAUGUUGAACCGCAUGGUUCAACAGUGAAAGACGGUCUUGCUGUCACUUAUAGAUGGAUCCGCGCCGCAUUAGCUAGUUGGUAAGGUAACGGCUUACCAAGGCAACGAUGCGUAGCCGACCUGAGAGGGUGAUCGGCCACACUGGAACUGAGACACGGUCCAGACUCCUACGGGAGGCAGCAGUAGGGAAUCUUCCGCAAUGGGCGAAAGCCUGACGGAGCAACGCCGCGUGAGUGAAGAAGGUCUUCGGAUCGUAAAACUCUGUUAUUAGGGAAGAACAAAUGUGUAAGUAACUAUGCACGUCUUGACGGUACCUAAUCAGAAAGCCACGGCUAACUACGG
rnacentral:rRNA from 1 species